AACGAACGCUGGCGGCAGGUUUAACACAUGCAAGUCGAGCGCCCCGCAAGGGGAGCGGCAGACGGGUGAGUAACGCGUGGGAAUCUACCCAUCUCUACGGAAUAACGCAUGGAAACGUGUGCUAAUACCGUAUACGUCCUUCGGGAGAAAGAUUUAUCGGAGAUGGAUGAGCCCGCGUUGGAUUAGCUAGUUGGUGGGGUAAAGGCCUACCAAGGCGACGAUCCAUAGCUGGUCUGAGAGGAUGAUCAGCCACACUGGGACUGAGACACGGCCCAGACUCCUACGGGAGGCAGCAGUGGGGAAUAGUGGACAAUGGGCGCAAGCCUGAUCCAGCCAUGCCGCGUGAGUGAUGAAGGCCCUAGGGUUGUAAAGCUCUUUCACCGGUGAAGAUAAUGACGGUAACCGGAGAAGAAGCCCCGGCUAACUUCGUGCCAGCCGCCGCAGUAACAC
rnacentral:rRNA from 1 species